UAUUUUUUAACACUUAGUUCUUGAAGCUGCUCAAAAUUAGAUUGUUUUAUUUGUAUGCUAACCAAUGUAUAACUUUGUGUAAAACACAGUUAUUACUGCAUUAUUUUAAUUGAUAGCUGGUACAGUACAAACUGAAUAAAGAGCAGUGCUACGGAAGGAUUUGCAAAGAACGCCAUUUAAGAUUUGAUAAGUGAUUGAUGAAGCGACUGUGUGAACUCAUCGCACCGAGUACUUGUUUUGUGCAGAAUUUGUGGAGAUAGUUCUAGUUCCUCUAAAUAAAUUGCAGAAGAAAAUUGAUGAAAUGGUGAAGAAAAAACAAGUAGUGCUGGAUGCAAGAGUUUAUAUCUAUGCCAUGGGGAGGACACAUGCAAAAUCAAAACCAACUGAACUGCCUGUUCUGAAGUCCUGAAUAAGUCGACAUUCCUCUUUUACAUAUUUGUAAUGGAUCCAAAUAAAGUUCUUAACACAAUUCAAAGAAAACAAAUACAUACAUCUUGCCACAAUUCCAGAAUUAAAACUAUCUGUUAAGAUUACGGUGCCAUGUGUUUUCAACUUUUAAGUCAUCAUUAGAAACCUGGCUCAUUGUUUUUCAUCUUCUGUACUUUAUAUGGCACUUUUUAGGUUUUCACUAUACCCAGCAAUAUAUAUAUAAAGCAAUCAAGCCUGUCGAUAAGGGCUCUACCGUGUGGUAGAUGACCACGGAUGGAGUUAUGGGCCCAUAGGCGAGGGUGCUAAUGCAAGUCAAGGUCAUUCACCACAUGGUAGAGCCCACAUCGAGAGGACUCUAUCUUUAUUAGAAAACAAUUUCUUUAUUUUCUCUUUAAAUAAUUAAAAAAAAAAAAAAAAAACCUUUAAAACCUAUGUUUACCUCAAACUUAUGAUAUGUCGUUGGUGUAACUUUCCGCUGAGGAAAAUAGUCCCUAACAAAAUUAGAAUAGAAAAACGACACACGUAAAGAAUUUUA